rnacentral:sRNA from 1 species
AAAAAUAAUAAUAACCAUUUAUCUAAUUAUUUAAUAAGGAUAAAAUAGGUAAACAGUUCUAAAAUUUACAUUGGAAAUAUAAAAUUUUUAUAUUUGUGGGACAAAAAUUUGUUCUAAAAAAUUUAUUUUUGUGAGACGGAAGGAAUAUAUGAUAAAAAAAAAAAGGUUUCGUUAUAAUUGGGCAUUUAUGUUGCGCUUUUCCAAAAUUUAGGAUUGGUUUCGAAAACUUUU